AUGGAUAUGUGUAAAGAUUUUCCUAAUCAGAAUGUCACUGCAUUUGCAGGUGUCCAGUGUGAGGUGCAACUGGUGGAGUCUGGGGGAAACCUGAGGCAACCUGGAGGCUCUCUGAAGCGCUCCUGUGCAGCCUUCAGUAGCUAUGGCAUGCACUGGGUUCGCCAAGCUCCAGGAAAGGGGCUUCAGUGGGUCUCAGCUAUUAAUAGAAAUGGUGCUAACACAUACUACGCAGACUCCGUUAAGGGUCGAUUUACCAUCUCCAGAGACAACGCAAAGAACAUGCUUUAUUUGCAGAUGAACAGUCUGAGAACAGAGGACACAGCCAUGUAUUACUGUGCAGGAGACACAGUGAGGGGAAGUCAGUGUGAACCUAGACAGAAACCUCUCUGUGGGAGCCAAGACCAGAGGAUUAAAACAGUUUAA